rnacentral:rRNA from 1 species
CGCCGCGUGGGUGAUGAAGGUCUUCGGAUUGUAAAGCCCUGUUUUCUGGGACGAUAAUGACGGUACUAGAGGAGGAAGCCACGGCUAACUACGUGCCAGCAGCCGCGGUAAUACGUAGGUGGCGAGCGUUGUCCGGAUUUACUGGGCGUAAAGGGUGCGUAGGCGGAUGUUUAAGUGGGAUGUGAAAUCCCCGGGCUUAACCUGGGGGCUGCAUUCCAAACUGGAUAUCUAGAGUGCAGGAGAGGAAAGCGGAAUUCCUAGUGUAGAGGUGAAAUGCGUUCAGAUUAGGAAGAACACCAGUGGCGAAGGCGGCUUUCUGGACUGUAACUGACGCUGAGGCACGAAAGCGUGGGUAGCAAACAGGAUUAGAUACCCUGGUAGUCCACGCCGUAAACGAUGGAUACUAGGUGUAGGGGGUAUCAACUCCCCCUGUGCCGCAGUUAACACAAUAAGUAUCCCGCCUGGAAGUACGGUCGCAAGAUUAAAACUCAAAGGAAUUGACGGGGGCCCGCACAAGCAGCGGAGCAUGUGGUUUAAUUCGAAGCAACGCUAAGAACCUUACCUGGACUUGACAUCCCUUGCAUAGCCUAGAGAUAUGUGAAGCCCUUCCGGGCAAG